rnacentral:rRNA from 1 species
GACGAACGCUGGCGGCGUGCCUAAUACAUGCAAGUUGAGCGCUGAAGGUUGGUACUUGUACCGACUGGAUGAGCAGCGAACGGGUGAGUAACGCGUGGGGAAUCUGCCUUUGAGCGGGGGACAACAUUUGGAAACGAAUGCUAAUACCGCAUAAAAACUUUAAACACAAGUUUUAAGUUUGAAAGAUGCAAUUGCAUCACUCAAAGAUGAUCCCGCGUUGUAUUAGCUAGUUGGUGAGGUAAAGGCUCACCAAGGCGAUGAUACAUAGCCGACCUGAGAGGGUGAUAGGCCACAUUGGGACUGAGACACGGCCCAAACUCCUACGGGAGGCAGCAGUAGGGAAUCUUCGGCAAUGGACGAAAGUCUGACCGAGCAACGCCGCGUGAGUGAAGAAGGUUUUCGGAUCGCAAAACUCUGUUGGUAGAGAAGAACGUUGGUGAGAGUGGAAAGCUCAUCAAGUGACGGUAACUACCCAGAAAGGGACGGCUAACUACGUG